rnacentral:rRNA from 1 species
AGCAGCCGCGGUAAUUCCAGCUCCAAUAGCGUAUAUUAAAGUUGUUGCAGUUAAAAAGCUCGUAGUUGAAUUUCGGGGUUAGUAGGUUGGUCGUGCCUCUGGUAUGUACUCGCCUUACUGAUUCCUCCUUCUUGAAGAACUGUAAUGCCAUUAAUUUGGUGUUGCAGGGAAACAGGACUGUUACUUUGAAAAAUUAGAGUGUUUAAAGCAGGCCGAUGCCUGAAUACAUUAGCAUGGAAUAAUGGAAUAGGACGUUGAUCCUAUUUUGUUGGUUUCUAGGAUUGACGUAAUGAUUAAUAGGGAUAGUUGGGGGCAUUAGGUAUUCAAUUGUCAGAGGUGAAAUUCUUGGAUUUAUUGAAGACUAACUACUGCGAAAGCAUUUGCCAAGGAUGUUUUCAUUAAUCAAGAACGAAAGUUAGGGGAUC